GGCCGGCUGGCCCAAUGGCAAGGCGUCUGACUACGAAUCAGGAGAUUGCAGGUUCGACCCCUGCGUCGGUCA
rnacentral:tRNA from 1 species